rnacentral:lncRNA from 1 species
GAACACGAUGGAAGUGGACGGAAAUUUAACAACUCGUCCCAAAGAACCUUCAACUCAGUGAAGUAAUCAGUCACAGAGCGUUCUUCCUGUUUGAAAACAGAAAUUUCAUCGUGAAGAUCAGAUAUACGGAAGACAUCACCCUGCGAAAACUUCUCAUGAAGAUCGCCCCAAAUCUCAUGCGCAGUAUCAAUCCAAAGAAUGUUGUUAACAAUGGAUUAUGAAAUAGAAUGAUGCAGCCAUGAAAUCACCAUGUUGUUGCACCGCUCCCACGCUGGAUAGAUCGAAUCUGUGGUCGCCGGAGGAAGAAUAGAACCAUCAACAAACUUCAAUUUGUUUUUAGAAAGAAGAGCCAUUUGCAUCGCUCUCGACCAAGAAUUGUAAUUAAGGCUGGUUAAUGUUGGAGUAACAAGAACAAGCGAUGGAUUUUCAUUUGGAUGAAGAAAAUACGGACUGGAAGGAAGCGAUGGAUCGGAAGUUGCCAUUGAAAGAGCAAAUCAAGAAAAACAGUGUUUGGCGGAAAAGAAAAAUAAAAGAAAGAGAGAAUUUUACAUCUGAUACCACGUAGAAAACGUGGAAAAUAUGAAAAUGAUUUUCCUUAUUAUUUACAGAAUAGGAAAAAUGCUUAUAUACAUGAAGCAAACAGC